rnacentral:rRNA from 1 species
AUUGAACGCUGGCGGCAGGCUUAACACAUGCAAGUCGAACGGUAACAUAAAGAAGCUUGCUUCUUUGAUGACGAGUGGCGGACGGGUGAGUAAUGCUUGGGAAUCUAGCUUAUGGAGGGGGAUAACUACGGGAAACUGUAGCUAAUACCGCGUAAUAUCGAAAGAUUAAAGUGUGGGACCUUCGGGCCACAUGCCAUAGGAUGAGCCCAAGUGGGAUUAUGUAGUUGGUGCGGUACCGCGCCCCCCCCCCCCCCAUUU